rnacentral:rRNA from 1 species
UUGAGCCUUGAUGUGUAGGAUAGGUGGGAGGCUUUGAAGUGUGGACGCCAGUCUGCAUGGAGCCGACCUUGAAAUACCACCCUUUAAUGUUUGAUGUUCUAACGUUGACCCGUAAUCCGGGUUGCGGACAGUGUCUGGUGGGUAGUUUGACUGGGGCGGUCUCCUCCUAAAGAGUAACGGAGGAGCACGAAGGUUGGCUAAUCCUGGUCGGACAUCAGGAGGUUAGUGCAAUGGCAUAAGCCAGCUUGACUGCGAGCGUGACGGCGCGAGCAGGUGCGAAAGCAGGUCAUAGUGAUCCGGUGGUUCUGAAUGGAAGGGCCAUCGCUCAACGGAUAAAAGGUACUCCGGGGAUAACAGGCUGAUACCGCCCAAGAGUUCAUAUCGACGGCGGUGUUUGGCACCUCGAUGUCGGCUCAUCACAUCCUGGGGCUGAAGUAGGUCCCAAGGGUAUGGCUGUUCGCCAUUUAAAGUGGUACGCGAGCUGGGUUUAGAACGUCGUGAGACAGUUCGGUCCCUAUCUGCCGUGGGCGCUGGAGAACUGAGGGGGGCUGCUCCUAGUACGAGAGGACCGGAGUGGACGCAUCACUGGUGUUCGGGUUGUCAUGCCAAUGGCACUGCCCGGUAGCUAAAUGCGGAAGAGAUAAGUGCUGAAAGCAUCUAAGCACGAAACUUGCC